rnacentral:rRNA from 1 species
UUUUCGGAGAGUUUGAUCCUGGCUCAGGACGAACGCUGGCGGCGUGCCUAAUACAUGCAAGUAGAACGCUGAAGUCUGGUGCUUGCACUAGACGGAUGAGUUGCGAACGGGUGAGUAACGCGUAGGUAACCUGCCUCAUAGCGGGGGAUAACUAUUGGAAACGAUAGCUAAUACCGCAUAACAGUAUUUACCG